AUGCACGCUGGCGGCGUGCUUCACACAUGCAAGUCGCACGGGAAACCUUUUAAUGAAGCUUCGGCAGAUUUAGCUGGUUUCUAGUGGCGGACGGGUGAGUAACGCGUGGGUAACCUGCCUUAUACAGGGGGAUAACAGUCAGAAAUGACUGCUAAUACCGCAUAAGCGCACAGGACCGCAUGGUCCGGUGUGAAAAACUCCGGUGGUAUAAGAUGGACCCGCGUUGGAUUAGCUUGUUGGUGGGGUAACGGCUCACCAAGGCGACGAUCCAUAGCCGGCCUGAGAGGGUGAACGGCCACAUUGGGACUGAGACACGGCCCAGACUCCUACGGGAGGCAGCAGUGGGGAAUAUUGCACAAUGGGGGAAACCCUGAUGCAGCGACGCCGCGUGAAGGAAGAAGUAUCUCGGUAUGUAAACUUCUAUCAGCAGGGAAGAUAGUGACGGUACCUGACGAAGAAGCCCCGGCUAACUACGUG
rnacentral:rRNA from 1 species